rnacentral:rRNA from 1 species
UACGGAGGGGGGCUAGCGUUGUUCGGAAUUACUGGGCGUAAAGCGCACGUAGGCGGACUGUUAAGUCGGGGGGUGAAAUCCUGGGGCUCAACCUCAGAAUUGCCUCCGAUACUGGCAGUCUCGAGUGCGGGAGAGGUGAGUGGAAUUCCCAGUGUAGAGGUGAAAUUCGUAGAUAUCGGGAGGAACACCGGUGGCGAAGGCG